AUGGAGAGUGGUGACAUUUCAAAAAGUAUACAAAAAGAACACAGAAUCCAUGUUGGGAUAUCUACACUCUCCAAAAUGAAAGCUCCUCAGGAAGCCAUUUCUAAAGAAUUGGAGGAAUCUAAGCAACUCCUUCUAGAGGGAUUUGAAGAUGUGAUAAGCAAACAAGAUGAGAUCAUUCAGGGUGUAGAAGCUUUUUCAAAGCAAGUGAAUGAAGCUAAUGAAGUGUUAGCAGAGGUCAGAACUAAAAAUUUUCUCCUGGAGAAACAACAGACUGGAACAUUAACCAAGUCUGUUUCUACGCAAACUGUUUCUACGCAAACUUCGGUAGCGUCACAUAGCGUUGGAAAUCGUGCUAAUAGUUUCUGGCUCAGCAGAGAUCUUACUCCACAACAAAACUUGGAGACUCCUACUUCAGCAACUCAGGCUUCACAUCACAACACUGCAGAGUCUUUGGACACGUUUGCCCUUCAGGAUCUUGACACCUCAACUUUAUGGGAAAGAUGUUUUCAGAUCAUUGAAAAAUAUAGGAGUCAAGAAAAUUUGCCUUCAUGCCAGAAUGAAGAUGUGGAAAGCACACCACAAUUUUAAGUAGCAAAUGAGAUGGAG
rnacentral:lncRNA from 1 species